rnacentral:rRNA from 1 species
CCUACGGGAGGAAGCAGUGAGGAAUAUUGGUCAAUGGCCGUAAGGCUGAACCAGCCAAGUCGCGUGAAGGAAGAAGGAUCUAUGGUUUGUAAACUUCUUUUAUAGGGGAAUAAAGGUAUCCACGUGUGGCGAUUUGAAUGUACCCUAUGAAUAAGCAUCGGCUAACUCCGUGCCAGCCGCCGCGGUAAUACGGAGGAUGCGAGCGUUAUCCGGAUUUAUUGGGGUUAAAGGGUGCGUAGGUUGUUUUUUAAGUCAGCGGUGAAAGUUUGUGGCUCAACCAUAAAAUUGCCGUUGAAACUGGAAGACUUGAGUGUGUUUGAGGUAGGCGGAAUGCGUGGUGUAGCGGUGAAAUGCAUAGAUAUCACGCAGAACUCCGAUUGCGAAGGCAGCUUACUAAGCCAUAACUGACACUGAAGCACGAAAGCGUGGGGAUCAAACAGGAUUAGAUACCCUGGUAGUC